GGGCACAUGGUGUAGUUGGUUAUCACAUCCGCUUAGCAUGAUGGGAAGGCCCAGCUUGAAUGUAAUGCGGGGGGUGCUGGGUUCAAUUCCCAGUGUGUCCA